rnacentral:lncRNA from 1 species
UUUUCGCAAUUAGCCUCCUGAAAAAAAUUUAUUUUAAAAAUAGUCCUAACAAAUUUAAAUUUGCAAAAAUAGCUCUGGUCCUGCCACGCAAGCGCCACGUCAGCGCCAUGCGGGCCGGGCUGGACCAGAUAGUUAAGUUAAACAUGGUGAAUGGUUCACCAUGUUUGGGGCAAGGGAAGGGAAAGAAAAAAUAUACGUAUUAUGAAAAAAAUAAAUAUGAAACACGGUGAAAAAAUAUACGUAUUAUGAAAAAGAUAAGUAUGAAACACGGUGAAUGGUUUACCGCGUUCAACUUAACGCCCCAAUCCGUCCAUGUGGCACUGAUGUGACGCCUGCGUGGCAAGGUCAGGGCCAUUUUUUAAAAUUUAAAUUUGCUGAAGUUAUUUUUAAAAUAAAUUUUUUCGGGGGGCUAAUUGCAAAAAAAGCCUAUUUUCUUAUCAUCCAUUCAAUUAUUGAUAACUCACAUUUGUAAGGCAAGUUUGUAACAUUAUUGGAACUGGGCCCCUGGAUUCAAUCAUUUGUCAAGGUCAUUUACAUGUCCUUUGUCCUUUUCUAGGGAAAUAAAUUUUUCUUUUUUUUUUCUGUAUAGUAGUUAUAUUAUAUAAAACAUAAUCAAGAGGAGUAAAGUACUUUUUUAUUAAAACAAUGUUAAGGAAAAAUUGUUCAUGUACUUUUGAACAACAUAAAGAUCUUUAAUUGAUUGUUUUUAGGAUAAACUUCAAAUUGCC